rnacentral:rRNA from 1 species
GACAGAGGUGCCGAGCGUUAGGCGGAAUCACUGGGCUUAAAGCGUGUGUAGGCGGACUUCUAAGUCCCUUGUGAAAUCCCACGGCUCAACCGUGGAACUGCUUGGUAUACUGGUCGUCUUGAGCCAUCUAGGGGCUGUCGGAACAAAUGGUGGAGCGGUGAAAUGCGUAGAUAUCAUGUGGAACGCCAAAGGUGAAAACAGACAGCUGGGGAUGUGCUGACGCUGAGACACGAAAGCCAGGGGAGCGAACGGG